ACCUGAGGACAUACAGACAGGUGAGCUGAGGACAGACAGACAGGUGAGCUGAGGACAGACAGACAGGUGAGCUGAGGACAGACAGACAGGUGAGCUGAGGACAGACAGACAGGUGAGCUGAGGACAGACAGACAGGUGAGCUGAGGACAGACAGACAGGUGAGCUGAGGACAGACAGACAGGUGAGCUGAGGACAUACAGACAGGUGAGCUGAGGACAGACAGACAGGUGAGCUGAGGACAGACAGACAGGUGAGCUGAGGACAGACAGACAGGUGAGCUGAGGACAGACAGACAGGUGAGCUGAGGACAGACAGACAGCCGAGCUGAGGACAGACAGACAGCCGAGCUGAGGACAGACAGACAGGUGAGCUGAGGACAGACAGACAGGUGAGCUGAGGACAGACAGACAGCCGAGCUGAGGACAGACAGACAGCCGAGCUGAGGACAGACAGACAGGUGAGCUGAGGACAGACAGACAGCCGAGCUGAGGACAGACAGACAGGUGAGCUGAGGACAGACAGACAGCCGAGCUGAGGACAGACAGACAGCCGAGCUGAGGACAGACAGACAGGUGAGCUGAGGACAGACAGACAGCCGAGCUGAGGACAGACAGACAGCCGAGCUGAGGACAGACAGACAGGUGAGCUGAGGACAGACAGACAGGUGAGCUGAGGACAGACAGACAGCCGAGCUGAGGACAGACAGACAGGUGAGCUGAGGACAGACAGACAGCCGAGCUGAGGACAGACAGACAGGUGAGCUGAGGACAGACAGACAGCCGAGCUGAGGACAGACAGACAGCCGAGCUGAGGACAGACAGACAGGUGAGCUGAGGACAGACAGACAGCCGAGCUGAGGACAGACAGACAGGUGAGCUGAGGACAGACAGACAGCCGAGCUGAGGACAGACAGACAGGUGAGCUGAGGACAGACAGACAGCCGAGCUGAGGACAGACAGACAGGUGAGCUGAGGACAGACAGACAGCCGAGCUGAGGACAGACAGACAGCCGAGCUGAGGACAGACAGACAGCCGAGCUGAGGACAGACAGACAGGUGAGCUGAGGACAGACAGACAGCCGAGCUGAGGACAGACAGACAGGUGAGCUGAGGACAGACAGACAGCCGAGCUGAGGACAGACAGACAGGUGAGCUGAGGACAGACAGACAGGUGAGCUGAGGACAGACAGACAGGUGAGCUGAGGACAGACAGACAGCCGAGCUGAGGACAGACAGACAGCCGAGCUGAGGACAGACAGACAGGUGAGCUGGAGAAGAUCAGUUUUUACCAUUUGGCAUCAAAGCGACACAGUUAUCUUCAUCGAUCCUGGUUCUGUACGACAGACCGUACACA